GAUGAACGCUGGCGGCGUGCCUAAUACAUGCGAGUCGAGCGAACAGACGAGGAGCUUGCUCCUCUGACGUUAGCGGCGGACGGGUGAGUAACACGUGGAUAACCUACCUAUAAGACUGGGAUAACUUCGGGAAACCGGAGCUAAUACCGGAUAAUAUAUUGAACCGCAUGGUUCAAUAGUGAAAGACGGUUUUGCUGUCACUUAUAGAUGGAUCCGCGCCGCAUUAGCUAGUUGGUAGGGUAACGGCUUACCAAGGCAACGAUGCGUAGCCGACCUGAGAGGGUGAUCGGCCACACUGGAACUGAGACACGGUCCAGACUCCUACGGGAGGCAGCAGUAGGGAAUCUUCCGCAAUGGGCGAAAGCCUGACGGAGCAACGCCGCGUGAGUGAUGAAGGUCUUCGGAUCGUAAAACUCUGUUAUUAGGGAAGAACAAAUGUGUAAGUAACUAUGCACGUCUUGACGGUACCUAAUCAGAAAGCCACGGCUAACUACGUG
rnacentral:rRNA from 1 species